UGUGUCAUGUUUUUCCUAUAUCUGCACACUUAUGGCGAAGUUAAAUGCAUAAAUUAUGCACAUUAAGAGACCCACAGCAAAACUCAUAACAAAACAGAACACUUACAGCAACAUACUGUAAUAAUGUGAACGUGCUCCUUCUCUCUCUCAGAAUAUCUCCUGGAUCUUCACUGUCUCACUGGAUGGAAGCAUUUCCAGCUUCUCUCUACACACUCCUGGGCCACAAGCUCAGCUCUUGUACCCUGAAGCCGAUGUGAAGUAAAACAAGGGUGAGCUGAACGCAAGCAGCUGUGGACCGGGUCGACCGCUCUGGUGGCCGCUGAUGACCAGCGGGUAGUGUUGAUGGUGUGGAUCCACUGGACAAAGGGACAGUUCAUGUCCCAGGCAGGAUGGAGCAGGUGGCUUAGAUUUCAUCACUAGACUCAGAACGGCCUUCAAUUCCAAACUGAGGGAUUGUUGGUUUCUGGAAUUUCCCAUUAUUAUUUUCCGGCCAUGCCUGACCACAGGCCACUUAAACCUUGGAAACCAAAACCACAGCAGGCGGCCCGGACUUUGGAGUUCUCCAACACUGCCGUAGACGAGCCAAGACAAGCUGAAGACGAGCUGAAACAAGCUGAAGACGUCCUGCCGCCACUCCUGGUCACUCCUGCCUGCUCCCUCGGGUCCAGCGUCUUAGCACAUUGAGAAAGAAGUGGAGCCGGGCACCUGCAGCCCCAGCCAACCAGAAACUGGAGCUCAAAACCAGCCUGGGCAAUAUACGGAGACCUAGCUGGAAAAGGAAAACGAACUGGGGUGCAAAGGUUCCAGCCAGCCAUCUGUCAGUGGGGUGACCAGGGCCCGUGAACCCCCACCGGCGGGGGACAGUCCCUGUCCAUACUGUUUUCCACCAUCAUUAGCGUGUUCAGGGUGAGUCUCAGAGAUGCCUGGUGCCAGUGAAUGACAAAUUAAUAGACCAUAUGCCUCAAACCCCUAUUUACACUUUUUAAAUUCUUUUA
rnacentral:lncRNA from 1 species